rnacentral:rRNA from 1 species
GACGAACGCUGGCGGCGUGCUUAACACAUGCAAGUCGAACGGAAAGGCCCUGCUUUUGUGGGGUGCUCGAGUGGCGAACGGGUGCGUAACACGUGAGUAACCUGCCCUUCACUUUGGUAUAACUUCAGGAAACUGGGGCUAAUACCGGAUCGGAGCUCCUGCUGCAUGGUGGGGGUUGGAAAGUUUAGGCGGUUGGGGAUGGACUCGCGGCUUAUCAGCUUGUUGGUGGGGUAGUGGCUUACCAAGGCUUUGACGGGUAGCCGGCCUGAGAGCGUGACCGGCCACAUGGGUACUGCGAUACGGACCAGACGGCUACGGGAGGCAGUAGGGGGGAACAUUGCACAACGAGCCGACGCCUGAUGCAGAGACGCUCGGGUCGGGAUGACGGCCUUUGGGGUGUAAACCGCUGUCGCCUGUGACGAAGCGGGAGUGACGGUAAUGGGAGAAGAAGCACCGGCUAACUACGUG